UACGGAGGGGGCAAGCGUUGUUCGGAAUUACUGGGCGUAAAGCGCACGUAGGCGGCUAACCAAGUUGGGGGUGAAAGCCCAGGGCUUAACCCUGGAACUGCCUUCAAGACUGGUUGGCUAGAGGCCGAGAGAGGUAAGGGGAAUUCCUAGUGUAGAGGUGAAAUUCGUAGAUAUUAGGAAGAACACCGGUGGCGAAGGCGCCUUACUGGCUCGGAACUGACGCUGAGGUGCGAAAGCGUGGGGAUCAAACAGGAUUAGAAA
rnacentral:rRNA from 1 species